rnacentral:rRNA from 1 species
UACGUAGGGUGCGAGCGUUGUCCGGAAUUAUUGGGCGUAAAGAGCUUGUAGGCGGUUUGUCGCGUCUGCUGUGAAAAUCCGGGGCUCAACCCCGGACUUGCAGUGGGUACGGGCAGACUAGAGUGUGGUAGGGGAGACUGGAAUUCCUGGUGUAGCGGUGAAAUGCGCAGAUAUCAGGAGGAACACCGGUGCGAAGGCGGGUCUCUGGGCCGUAACUGACGCUGAGGAGCGAAAGCGUGGGGAGCGAACAGG